rnacentral:rRNA from 1 species
GACGAACGCUGGCGGCGUGCUUAACACAUGCAAGUCGAACGGGCCCGCUCUCUUUUUUGGGGGUGGGUUGAGUGGCGAACGGGUGAGUAUCACGUGAGUAACCUACCCCCUGCUCCUGGAUAACUGCUUGAAAGGGCGGCUAAUACGGGGUUUGCCGCCGGUUCCCCAUGGGCCUGGUCGGGUUAGUUUCAUCUUCGGGGGUUUCGGGGGGGGAUGGGCUCGCGGCCUAUCAGCUUGUUGGUGGGGUGAUGGCCCACCAAGGCGGUGACGGGUAGCCGGCCUGAGAGGGUGGGCGGCCACACUGGGACUGAGACACGGCCCAGACUCCUGCGGGAGGCAGCAGUGGGGGGUAUUGCACAAUGGGCGGAAGCCUGAUGCAGCGACGUCGCGUGAGGGAUGGAGGCCUUCGGGUUGUGAACCUCUUUCUCCGGUGGUGAAGGCCCUGUCCGUUGCGGCGGGGUUGACGGUAGCCGGGUAUGAAGCGCCGGCUAACUACGUG